UACGUAGGGUGCAAGCGUUAAUCGGAAUUACUGGGCGUAAAGCGUGCGCAGGCGGUGAUGUAAGACAGUUGUGAAAUCCCCGGGCUCAACCUGGGAACUGCAUCUGUGACUGCAGCGCUGGAGUACGGUAGAGGGGGAUGGAAUUCCGCGUGUAGCAGUGAAAUGCGUAGAUAUGCGGAGGAACACCGAUGGCGAAGGCAAUCCCCUGGACCUGUACUGACGCUCAUGCACGAAAGCGUGGGGAGCAAACAGG
rnacentral:rRNA from 1 species